rnacentral:rRNA from 1 species
AGAACGAACGCUGGCGGCAGGCCUCAAACAUGCAAGUCUAGGGGGUGUAGCAAUACAUCACCGGCGGACGGGUGCGUAACACGUGGGAAUAUACCUUUUGGUUCGGAACAACGCAGGGAAACUUGCGCUAAUACCGAAUGUGCCCUUACGGGGAAAGAUUAAUCGCCAAAGGAUUAGCCCGCGUAGGAUUAGCUAGUUGGUGAGGUAAUGGCUCACCAAGGCUCCGAUCCUUAGCUGUUCUGAGAGGAAGAUCAGCCACACUGGGACUGAGACACGGCCCAGACUCCUACGGGAGGCAGCAGUUGGGAAUCUUGGACAAUGGGGAAACCCUGAUCCAGCCAUGCCGCGUGAGUGAUGAAGGCCUUCGGGUUGUAAAACUCUUUCGACGGGGACGAUAAUGACGGUACCCGUAGAAGAAGCUCCGGCUAACUUCGCGCCAGCAGCCGC